UCCUGGUUAGCUCAGUUGAUGGAUCGCUCCACCUGUAAUGGAGAGGUCCCGGGUUCGAUACCCGGACCAGGCG
rfam:Ixodes scapularis strain Wikel colony gcontig_1108379241770, whole genome shotgun sequence.